AGUUUCGCACCCACUGAUUGGUCGCUCGAGCCAUCAAUCAGGUGCUUUUCCUCCCGCCCCUUCCCACUUCCGACUUUCUGUUCGGUUGAAGACUGUUGUUCUCCACCGUCAACUCCCGCCCCAUCCCUGAUGCCCUGUGUGGGUGACGUCAGUCAUUCUAUUCCCUUAAAUGGGAAUUUUGUCCGGCAAAAUGGAAUGUUCAGCGCUGCUUGAAUUGGCGAGCGUUCCAAACCGUUGAGUGCGUGUUUAACCCUCCCCCCAGACCCAAUACCCCGCGAGCAGAUUCAGUGGUCCGGAAAGAUCAUCCACGAUGGUGGGCGCUGUAAUCGUUUCGGUAUGAUGCACAUCGUUUUUUCCUCAAACAAGGUGACUCCACGAAGUUGUUCGAGGAUGAGGUCUUAAUAGUAGAAUUGGAGCUUUUAAGCGACUGAAUGGUGUGACCGGAACAGCUGUACAAAUUGUCCACGAUUUGCAGAUGUUUUUUGCGCAAAAUGUUUUUCAGCACGGUGUGCUCUUUCAAUGCUGGAAUUGGAAUCGAAAACAACUAGUGCUGGCGAUCACAGCAGGUUUUAAGAUAGCUGUGUGUAUCCGAAAUGAAUGCAGUUUUCUCAGUGAACAAAGUACCGAUGUUACAAGUUGCAAAUAAAAUUGACUGAACAUGAAUUUCAUUAUCAAUUAAUUGCUUCAAUUAUCUUAUAAACUUGGGAACAAUUUAGUCUCUAACCAAAACCACUUUGUAUGAGGACUUGAAGUGAACUAUAAAGUAGGUUCAAGUCAAACACCAAGAGCUAAGCUGUGACCUGUGAUUUAUUUCCUAAUUAGCAUUUUACUUGAUGAGUGACAUUCUAUAAUUGUUAUAAGCACAGGAACUAUAAAUAAAAAUAUGUAUUUCAAAAAUUAAAUUUAUUUGUCCAUUUAAGAUCAUUAAUAAAAUUUGUCCCAUGAUAGUUCAUAUAAUGUAAUACAAUUUCAGACAUUAUCACAAGUAUAGCACUAGACAUUUCCUUUCAUUACAUAAAUGAAAUGAUAAAUAAACGUAGAACUUUACUUAGCCAUUUUUCACAGCUUCAUUUGACACAAAAUGGAACUACCUCGAGGGCAACAAAAUUAAUACUAUCUUUAAAAACGUGCAUCCAAUCCCUGGCAUGCUAUUUCAAAUGCGAUAUUUUUGAAAAGUCUAUCUAAGUAAUUUGGAAUUUUACAGGAUUAUGUACUUUAUUUGGUAUUUUUGAUACAAACUGGAUAAAUAAUACCUCAUUUAACACUAUACAUUAACUUGGAACAACUUGUGAAUUUAUCCAUAAAAUAUUGACACUGUCCUUGUAAAUAAAAUAUAAGUUAGUAUCCAAAUAUAGCAUUUAGUAAUUAAAUAUAACAUUUGUUAGGUUUGGUCCAACAACUGGUUGUUGAAACAACUGACAACCACAACUGAAAUUAUCAUAAUACAAAAUGUAGUCACAAUUUUACAAAGUAAAUUUAAUAUGAUCUUAAAAAUCCCAAACAAAAUUUAAAGUCUCGAUGAAUAUCAUAGCUUUGAAAAUAUUCAUAAUUUAGACAUGGGUUUGACCAUGCAUAAAACCCUUCAUAAGAGAUAAGGGUAUUCCUACUGAAAUAUGUACAAUAGGAUUUUGUAUGGCUUUCUGGGAUCAAUUUAUGUGUAAUUCAAGUGUUCAAAUUAAACAAAUUUCAAACAGAGUUAAUUCAUAGUACAUAUCAAUUGACUCUAUUAAAAGCAGAAAAGAAUUUGUACAAUAUAUCUGAGAUCUAAUCUAAUUUUUAAAAAUAUUUGUAAAUGCUAACAAAAAUGAAAAGUAUUCUUAACACUGAUUACACAGAAAAAGUUAAUGAUAUUAUUGAAUGGUAGAGUGGAUUCGAAAGGCUGAAGGCCUUACUUCUGCUCCUAUUUUAAUGUCUUAUGACCCACAAUGAAGUUAGUUAUAGGGAUGUACAGCAUGGAAACAGACCCUUCGGUCCAACUCAUCCAUGUUGACCAGAUAUUCUAAACUGAU